rnacentral:rRNA from 1 species
CCGGUGGUAUGAGAUGGACCCGCGUCUGAUUAGGUAGUUGUGGGGUAAAGGCCUACCAAGCCGACGAUCAGUAGCCGACCUGAGAGGGUGACCGGCCACAUUGGGACUGAGACACGGCCCAAACUCCUACGGGAGGCAGCAGUGGGGAAUAUUGCACAAUGGGGGAAACCCUGAUGCAGCGACGCCGCGUGAAGGAAGAAGUAUUUCGGUAUGUAAACUUCAUCAGCAGGGAAGAAAAUGACGGUACCUGAGUAAGAAGCACCGGCUAAAUAC